UGUUGAGCUUGACUCUAGUCCGACUUUGUGAAAUGACUUGAGAGGUGUAGAAUAAGUGGGAGCUUCGGCGCCGGUGAAAUACCACUACUUUCAACGUUAUUUUACUUAUUCCAUUCGUUGGGAGCGGGACUCAGUCCCUCUUUCUAGCUUUAAGGCGGCCUUCGGGCUCGCCGACCCAGGUGGAAGACAUUGUCAGGUGGGGAGUUUGGCUGGGGGGGCACAUCUGUUAAACAAUAAC
rnacentral:rRNA from 1 species